UGGCCUAAGACAAGGAAACCAAUUAGGAUUAAUCAUUGUCAUCGUCAAAUCGUCAAACCAAACAAAAAGACGGUCAGAGUACAGGUCAACAAAUGUAAACAGUGAUUAAAUGAAGGAAAGGAGCCUGAAGGCGACAUGUGUAGCACAAUCAAAUUAUGAAGUGUCUUAAAAGGAGAGAUAGGCACACAGAAAAUGCUGCGUAGUGUGUUCAGAAGGGGGACUAAUAUGCUGAAGUGAGAAUAGACAGCCGGGUGAGACGUUACUCUACAUAUAGGUUAUGAGUCCCUGAAGAUGCAAAACGAACACAAGUUUUGAAGUUCAAGCAAUCCGAAGGAUGACGUUCACGCCGUGCCAAACUAAACCCAAAGUACUACAUCAGGAAUUGAAGGAAUUCACAUAUAUAAAAUGUAAGGGGACGAUGAAAAUCUGCAACACUUGGGUGUGAUUUAAACGGAUAAAAAUUACUUACCAUGGCUGCUGAUUUCGAUGAACAGGUCCACCGGAAAAAAGGAAGUGAUCGGUGCAAACACGACCACGCGAAGAAGGCAAACUUUGGAAGAAGACUUAGAGAAGAAAA